GAAAAAAAAAAUAAUAAUAAAAAGCAAGGUCACCAACUACAUGAACAAAUUUGGCCUUUUAAAUCUUAUUUCCAUUCAAUUUCAACAUUCUACCUGAAUUUAAUCUAAACCUUAUUUCAAGUUUCAUUUUCCUUCUAAUGGUUUAACAAACUCAUGUAAUGCUUUAGCUAAUAAAGAGAAAUAUUACUCUUGCAUUCAAUUUAUAAAUAAGGUACUCCUAGUCUCUCUGUAGAGAAACUUAGGCAAAUCUCUGCUGUUCCCAAUUAAAGUAUCUAGCCACAUUCUGAUAAAAUCAAAUAGUUGCCAAUUUGCCACAAUUAUCGCAAAAAUUCCAAUCAAUAUUAAUGUACAUGGAUGCUUCUGCAAACCCCAUACAAAAUUUACAAUUUGAUGUACUCCAUUAAAAAAAUUUGCUAACAAAGGGCAAAGCUUUCAUCAAAAUUUUCCAACAUAAUCCAAGUCA
rnacentral:misc_RNA from 1 species